CAGUUUCUGCAGUUUCAGGAGCAGAGGCCUAUUUCACGAAGCAGGUUUUACAAACUCUGAGUUUCUUCUACAACUCUGAGUUGAUCUACUCUGAGAUAGAAAACUCUGAGUUUUCGGUUUCACAACGGCUGAUAUGAGUUGGGUUAAUCAAUUCGGAGUAGUUUGACCCGGAGUUACGCGCGUGCACCGCAAGUCUGAAAAGACAGCAUCAAUGGAACCCCGAUUCGACGAGUCACCAUGGAAACGGGGAAGCGAAAGGCUGCGUUUUUGAACUGGAAGUUUUUAACGCGCUCAUAUGGCGAGUUUGAACACGUUUUUAGAAAGAAGUGCAACACCGCUGCAGCUGCAAAAGAGAGAGAGACGGCGUAGAGAACACUGCUGCCCGUAUCAAUGCGAUGAAGAGGAUGAAACUGUGUCUGCUGCCUUUACAGAGGGGGAUCCAGAAAGGCAUAUAGAGAGCAUGGCUGGACAGCAGCAGGAUGGUCCCUCAUCUUCCACUGCACAGACUGACACAGUGACAUGGAUGUUCAGGAAACACCAGAGGUUCAUUCUGUGGAAUUCAUGUGCAACUGUAUAACUGAAUGUCCUCUAUGUAUUCCCAGUUAUCAGUAAAACAGAUUUAGAAACUGCAUUUGCUGAGAAAAAUCCAAAAAACAGAUUAGGAGGGCAGAUCUGGAAAUUGAAAUACUGGAGCACAAGUUAGAGGUGGUGAUGGUCACAGGUGAAUUAUGUUAACUAUUGGAACAUUAACUGAACUAUCUCUUUUAUUUGUAGGAAAUAAAGAAGACCAAAUGAAA